UUCCUGACAAAGCAAAUCAAGUAACCCGGAAGCAACAUGUCACGUGGUGCCGCUGACGCCAGUUGGCCGCCAGAGGGCACCGCUGUAACACGCUGCUGCUCGCCAAGUCACAUGACUCCACCAAGCAAGACGCUUCUCGUUUUGCAUCCCUACUGUUUGUAAAUGCUUUAAUUUUUAGACCUUUUUAAUAAAUUGUUAACUUAAUUCAGAACUGUGCUGGUAAUCACAAAGAUAUGUAUGGCGAAAUUUGUUCCACUCAAAUAAAUGCAUGUAAUGACUCUACCAUUGACUUUUAAUUGAUUUAUUUUUCUGUGAUGAGCAUCAAGUUAGGAAUAUUGGGCUGGUAACCUAUGAUUUAAGAAAUAAACUAACAUAUGUGCCGUAUGAUUAUGAUUAUGAUUAUAAUUGUUUAAUUUACUACGGUUCUUUUUUGUGUAAUUUGUUUAACUGCAAUACAUCAAUAAGAAAUUAAUGCAUGCAUUAUAAUUAAGCAAUUGGGGGGGGGGGUCACAAUUGCGACAUUAAUCCAACAAUAAUGCAUACCUGUCAACUUUUCGGAGCGCCAACCUGUAUAAACUACCAAAAAAAUCCGUAUAAAGAGCAAACGAUCCUUACAACAUACCAAAGCAUUUUAUGUCAAAAAUAACGGCACAGAAAAAAACCCACGAAAUGUUCAAUGAUAUUUAUUGUAGAUCUCCAUAAUACAAUGUCUGGUUAAUGUCUAAUCAUCAUUCUACUUAGUGGCAUUACUGUGUUAAGAGUUGUAUUCCGGAAAUGAAAGCAUUCGAGUAGAGGAGCACCGUUCUGGGCAAAAGCAAACGGAACUACCUGUCGGUGGGGGCGGGGGGGACAAAAAACGGAAAUGUUCAGAAUCCGUAUGAUUUGUGCGAUACGGCCAUAUACGUAAGAUUCACCACAAAAUCCGUAUGAACUAUGGCUAAACCGUAUGAGUUGACCGGUAUGAUUUCACUGAAUG